rnacentral:rRNA from 1 species
UUCGCAAUGCCCGAAAGGGUGACGAAGCGACGCCGCGUGUGGGAAGAAGGCCUUCGGGUUGUAAACCACUGUCGGGAGUUAAGAAAUGCAAGGGUGCUAAUAGUAUCCUUGCUUGACUAAGGCUCCGGAGGAAGCCACGGCUAACUCUGUGCCAGCAGCCGCGGUAAUACAGAGGCGGCAAGCGUUGUUCGGAAUUAUUGGGCGUAAAGAGCACGUAGGCGGCUAUGUAAGUCGGUUGUGGAAGCCUUCCGCUCAACGGAAGAACAGCAUCCGAUACUGCAUGGCUUGAGUGCGGGAGGGGAGAGUGGAACUUCUGGUGGAGCGGUGAAAUGCGUAGAUAUCAGAAGGAACGCCGGCGGCGAAAGCGGCUCUCUGGCCCAUAACUGACGCUGAGUGUGCGAAAGCUAGGGGAGCAAACGGGAUUAGAUACCCCGGUAGUCCUAGCCGUAAACGAUGGGCACUAAGUAGAGGGGUUUU